CUUCCUCAUCAACUGGGAGAAGUCGAUCUUAGAACCAACACAGGACAUAGAAUUUUUAGGCUUUCAAGUCAAUUCCAUUCAACAGACCCACUGCCUUCUGGAAGACAAGUUCAAGACCAUAAAAAAGGAGAUCAGAUGAAUCUUACGAGCUCCAGACUUCUCAAUACGACAACUGGCACGAAUCAUAGGUCUGCUCGCCUCAUCCAUCCAGGUGAUAUUUCCAGGCCCGCUGCACUACCAGGUGUUACACAGACUCAAAGGCUCCUAUCUCCGUGCUGGC